CAGUCUCCGGUCAUCUUUAUGUGAAGAAGGAAGAGCCAAGUCAAAAAGUCAAAGAGAAUUGUGGGGUUAUUAGGAUGACACGUGUAAUUAUUGGCACCGGC